UUCGGCCACGAGUAGAGCGGCGAACGGGUGAGUAACACGUGGGUGACCUGCCUUGGAGCGGGGGAUAACUUGGGGAAACUCGAGCUAAUACCGCAUACGUCGGCGAAGUCUAGGCUUCGUCGGGAAAGCUGGCCUCUGCUUGCAAGCUAGCGCUCCAAGAGGGGCCCGCGUCUGAUUAGCUAGUUGGUGAGGUAACGGCUCACCAAGGCUGCGAUCAGUAGCCGGCCUGAGAGGGUGAUCGGCCACACUGGGACUGAGACACGGCCCAGACUCCUACGGGAGGCAGCAGUGGGGAAUAUUGGACAAUGGGGGCAACCCUGAUCCAGCAAUGCCGCGUGUGUGAAGAAGGCCUGCGGGUUGUAAAGCACUUUCGUUGGGGAGGAGGCCUACUUUUGAGGUAGGUGACGUUACCCAAAGAAGAAGCACCGGCUAACUCUGUGCCAGCAGCCGCGGUAAUACAGAGGGUGCAAGCGUUAAUCGGAAUUACUGGGCGUAAAGGGCGCGUAGGUGGUUAAUUAAGUUAGCUGUGAAAGACUAGGGCUUAACCUUAGGGUGUCAGCUGAUACUGAUUAACUAGAGUAUGGUAGAGGGUAGAGGAAUUUCCGGAGUAGCGGUGAAAUGCGUAGAUAUCGGAAGGAACAUCAGUGGCGAAGGCGUCUACCUGGACUAAUACUGACACUGAGGCGCGAAAGCGUGGGGAGCAAACAGGAUUAGAUACCC
rnacentral:rRNA from 1 species